AAGCGAAACGGGGGCCUUCCCCCGUCUGCUCAGCGUGGUGGCUGGGCACUGAUGAGCAGCCAAUU
rnacentral:hammerhead_ribozyme from 1 species